AACGAACGCUGGCGGCAUGCCUAACACAUGCAAGUCGAACGCUCCGCAAGGGGAGUGGCGAACGGGUGAGUAACGCGUGGGAACCUGCCCAGUAGUUGGGGAUAACCGCGGGAAACUGCGGCUAAUACCGAAUACGCCCUAAGGGGGAAAGAUUUAUCGCUAUUGGAGGGGCCCGCGUCGGAUUAGCUGGUUGGUGAGGUAACGGCUCACCAAGGCGACGAUCCGUAGCUGGUCUGAGAGGAUGAUCAGCCACACUGGGACUUAGACACGGCCCAGACUCCUACGGGAGGCAGCAGUGGGGAAUAUUGGACAAUGGGGGCAACCCUGAUCCAGCAAUGCCGCGUGAGUGAUGAAGGCCUUAGGGUUGUAAAGCUC
rnacentral:rRNA from 1 species